rnacentral:rRNA from 1 species
UACGUAGGGGGCAAGCGUUGUCCGGAUUCAUUGGGCGUAAAGAGCGUGUAGGCGGCCAGGUAGGUCGGUUGUGAAAACUGGAGGCUCAACCUUCAGAGGUCGACCGAAACCAUCUGGCUAGAGUCCGGAAGAGGAGAAUGGAAUUCCUGGUGUAGCGGUGAAAUGCGCAGAUAUCAGGAAGAACACCUGUGGCGAAGGCGGCUCUCUGGGACGGUACUGACGCUGAGGCACGAAGGCCAGGGGAGCAAACGGG